rnacentral:rRNA from 1 species
AGAGCGAACGCUGGCGGCAGGCCUAACACAUGCAAGUCGAGCGCGUGUAGCAAUACACGAGCGGCAGACGGGAGAGUAACACGUGGGAACGCGCCCUUCGGUUCGGAAUAACUCAGGGAAACUUGAGCUAAUACCGGAUACGCCCUUACGGGGAAAGAUUUAUUGCCGAAGGAACGGCCCGCGUCCGAUUAGCUAGUUGGUGAGGUAACGGCUCACCAAGGCGACGAUCGGGUAGCUGGUCUGAGAGGAUGACCAGCCUCACUGGGACUGAGACACGGCCCAGACUCCUACGGGAGGCAGCAGUGGGGAAUAUUGGACAAUGGGCGCAAGCCUGAUCCAGCCAUGCCGCGUGGAUGAUGAAGGCCUUAGGGUUGUAAAGUCCUUUUAACGGGGAAGAUAAUGACGGUACCCGUAGAAUAAGCCCCGGCUAACUUCGUGCCAGCAGCCGC